UGCAACGCCAUAUAAAUGUUUUUUACAUGCAAUAAACAAUUUAUGACAAUACUAAUAGCAUGUAGCGACAUCUUCAUCAACACACAAUGUUUUUAUGGCUCUAACGCUACGAUACUUUAUGUGAAACAUGUACACUUUGGUGUCAGUUUUUUUUUUUUUUGCCCUGAAAAGUUCAAAUUACUUGCAAACCAAUGCCAUAAUCUGUUAUUCCUACAUUCUGGGUAAUAGACCAAUCAAUUUAAAACUUCUUGCUGUUACGUAGAGGCUGCAUGGAACAAUUUAUUAGCUGGACAAUUCGUUUCGCUAGCAUGUGGUGCCAUUCUGUUGGUUGAUACGGUUCGAACGAGCCCUUAUUGGUUCAAAUUGGUCACUCCUGUGCGAAUAAAGAAGGUCGUGUUAUUACAUUUAUAGUUACCAGCUUUAGGUGCUCUUUUAUGUUAUAAGAUUUGUGGUAGAGAGAGACUUUGCUUUUAUAUGGGCUGCAUCAUAAGUUGAUCCUGAUGUAGAGCAGGGGUGUCCAACCAACUCCAACUCUCCCUGCUGAUUACCUGGAUCAGGUGUGUCAGUUAGCAGCUGAUUGGAUAAACACACUUGAUCUAGGUAAUCAGUAUUAGCUGGGGAAAGCAGGGUUGUGAAAACAGCAGGACAGUAGGUCUCGAGGUACAGAAGCACAUCUCAUCUGCCCCUCUCCCCCCACCAAGGGAAAGAGAGCCUCUCUGGACGCUCCUGCUCCAGCUGCCAAAAAGGAGAAAAGAAAGCAAGGCAGAGGAGGACAGGUGGCAUGACCGAAAGGAGGAGGACAUUGCUCCUGGCCCAUGGAAGUCGUGCCAGGCAGUACCUCUGGGCCCAUCUUUGACACCACCCAGGCCUGGUCUCCUCUCAGUCUGUUCUAGUCACACAAUAGUAGACAAUACAAAUGCAAAUGCAGCAAGAAGGAUAGCAGCUGAAUUGGUUCAGAUGGAUACCCCUCACACCUCAGGAAUUCUACGUUUUUCUGUCCAUCGUCAUGUUAAGUGGCCUUGUCACACUGCAUCACUGCACAGACUACUGGAAACAGAAGUUCCCGUAUAACUUCUCGUAUCCCAGUAAGAAGAUGAUGCGGAGCGGUUUUAAACUCAUCAUGUGGUCGCUUCAACUAAGCAACCCAGAUGAAAAUGAAGACAAUGACAGGAAAAGAAUCAGUGGUGACCACGAAAAACUGUUCAAAAUAAAGCCACGCUACUGUGAUUUGGUGAAAUCCUGCCAGGCUCAUUUCCAGCUAUUACAGAACAUUUCAAUUGAUGAGCGGAAGGUGGCAAGCAAUGCAUGUAUCAUCUUAUCAGGACAACCCGCAUUGGCUAUCCACAGACCCAGUCUAGCGCUCUGUGAAGCUUCUACCUGUGGUGCACGGCCCGGUCUUUCACUGGGUCAGUGGACGUCUGCUGAGAUCUACAUCGCUGCCGUACUGGGCCCAGAGCGCUGCCGUGCACCUGCAGCAGGCCAGCGCUCAUUAAUCCGGGUCUAAGUGAAGACUCUUAAUCCUGGUGCCGAGCCCUGUGGGGCGGCGCAGAUUCAUUUCACAGAGGAAGCUGUGGCGCCGAACGCAACACCGCGGUGGGAAACGCAGCAGAGAAGCCAACUGGUUUAGGUUUACUUUUCAAUUUAAAUGCUAAUGUAGACAAGUGAACGCGCGAUGCGCUGCGACGACACGGGCUUUGAACAGGGCGUUGAUUACACGCUGCUGAUAACAAAACAGAAACAGAUAGAGAGGUGAAAGCCGCAUAACUGACCUGAUUCAUCGUCUCCUGCCUCUGCACAUUUGCAUAUCAGAGAACAUGACUAUGUGGAGCCUUCUGAAGUCGCCCCAUGUAGCUUAAUGAAAUCACUGACAUUUCCCAGCUGCUGGGAGACUGGGAGGAAAGGCUCCAUUUCAUUUUGAGAUCAUUUCCAGUGGGACGCUAUAUAUUCAUCAAUACGCCUUCUUAAAAUGCACGGCGGCGUGACGCUCUGUGGCCCAGAGGCCAGAACACGCUGCAGCCUGUGCUAAUGACCACUGGUGGUAGUUAAUGCUGUGAUGGGGUCAGUGAGACAAAGAGACGGACACACGCUAAAUGAUGAUUCAUCAGACAUCGGAUGUCCGUCGCUUUGUGACGAGCUGCGGAACAGGAUGAGUUCUGAGAAAAGCAACUUGUGGCAAAUGGGUUGAGAGCAGUUCACUUUA